GCCUUCUUAGUAUAAUAAGUACAAUUGACUUCCAAUCACUAAGCUCUAGUAUAACCUAGAAGAAAGCA
rnacentral:tRNA from 1 species